rnacentral:rRNA from 1 species
UACGUAGGGGGCAAGCGUUGUCCGGAAUUAUUGGGCGUAAAGCGCGCGCAGGCGGUUUCUUAAGUCUGAUGUGAAAGCCCACGGCUCAACCGUGGAGGGUCAUUGGAAACUGGGAGACUUGAGUGCAGAAGAGAAGAGCGGAAUUCCACGUGUAGCGGUGAAAUGCGUAGAGAUGUGGGGGAACACCAGUGGCGAAGGCGGCUCUUUGGUCUGUAACUGACGCUGAGGCGCGAAAGCGUGGGGAGCGAACAGG